rnacentral:lncRNA from 1 species
ACGGGUUCCCACAGUGCAGUAGUGGGCUGAAGGUAUCCUCAAAUGCCGCCAAAGUGGGAGCCCAGGCAGAGGAGGUGCCAAGAGCAAGCGAGGGCUCUGAGGACUGCCAGCACGCUGUCACCUCUCAAUAAUGUUUUCUCCUACUGAGGAUAUGAGGUCAAGGGUUCAAGAAGCAGGGUUGUCUAUUCAUAGCUUUAUCAUAGAAUACUGAAAAUACAGCGACUCUGGAUGGAAGAAAGAAGAAUGCCCUGCUGUCUCACAUUCAGUGAAUUUUGUUCUAACAAGAUCUGUACCAUAUCACAGUUCUAGACUGGCUUCUGUGAAGUGGAAGUUAAAAGAAAACUUUUGUAACAUUAAAUGGGUCAUACUGAAAUAUUUUAAUGUGGUGAUCUUUUUAUGUAUAUUGUAUUAUUUAUUUAUUCAGUACUUUAUAUUUUCAGAAGUAUAGCACAGAGCCCAAAAUUGAACUGUAGUUGGUAAUUGCCAAUUAACUGAUUUAGCCUAUGUUAGGUGAGAAAAAUCUUUAAUUAGGGUUAGAUAGAAACCCUUCACCCAAAUAUCU